AACCAGUAGCGAAAUGGCUCCCACAAAGGAACAUCUCCACAGCCUUAUGCACUUGUUCAUAGCAUGCCUCCUCAAGCUUAGCACCGCAGCGCCUUGCCUGCCGGAUCAGGCUUCUUCCCUCCUCCAGCUAAAAGCUUCCUUCAUUGGUGACAGCCUACCAUCAUGGCAAGCUGGAACAGAUUGCUGCCACCACUGGGAGGGCGUCACCUGUGACGUGGCCUUCGGAAGAGUCAUUUCUCUUGACCUCGGUGAGUUCGACCUGAUGAGCAGUUGGCUUGAUCCUGCGCUCUUCAACCUCACCUCUCUCAGGAACCUCAGCCUUGCAUUCAAUGACUUUAGGGGAGCCUCGCUCCCGGCUUCUGGGUUCGAGCGGCUCACGGAUAUCAUCCACCUCAACCUCUCGUGCACCUAUUUUUUGGGUCAGAUCCCAAUUGGAAUAGCCUGCCUCAAGAACCUUGUCACCCUUGACUUGUCUGAAAAUUAUGAUUUGUAUUUUGAGCGGCCAAGUUUCAAAACCUUCAUGGCAAAUAUGAGCAACCUGAGGGAGCUUUAUCUUGAUGGAGUGAAUUUAUCUAGCAGUGGAUCGACUUGGUCCACUGUUUUAGCAGACUCCGUUCCCCAGCUACAGGUUCUUAGCUUGUAUCAGUGUUAUAUAUCAGGUCCUAUCCAACCUUCAUUCUCAAGGCUUCGCUCACUUACGACGAUCAACUUGGGAUACAAUAAGUUUGAAGGGCAUUUUCCAACAAAAAUCUUCCAGCUAAAAAGUUUGAGGACGCUUGAUUUGUCCGGUAACCCCAUGCUUUCUGUGAGGUUAACACACUUCCCAGCUGGAAAUAAUUUGGAAACACUAAAUCUAGCAGGGACCAAUUUCUCUUGUGACAUGCCGUCCUCGUUUGGCAAUCUUGAGUAUGUAAAGACAUUGGGGCUUAACAUGAUGGGCAUUGAUGACGAACUCCCCUCUUUGAUAUCUAAGCUUCCGUUAUUGGAUGACCUGCAACUCAUGGGACCAGAUACGGAGAAUCCGAUAUUAUCUUGGAUCAGCAAUAUUACCCAAUUGACACACCUAUUGUUUGAUGGUUAUGACUUCUCUAAAUCGAUUCCCACUUGGAUCGGCAAACUUACAAGGCUGGAAAGUUUGACAAUAGCGGAUUGUAGUUUCUCCAUGCCAAUACCGUACCAGAUUGGAAAUCUUACAAAAUUGGUCGAACUGAAGUUCUUGAACUGUGACUUCUCAGAGCAGAGAAUGCCAUCGUCGAUAGGCAAUCUUACAAAGUUGGUCCUUUUAAGCAUCUGUGAUUGCAAUUUCUCUGGACCAAUACCCUCAACAAUUGGGAACUUGAUCCAACUUGAGAAGCUGGUGGUCUGGUCUUCUCACAUAGGAGGAAAAAUUCCAAAGUCCUUGUUCGCUCUUCCAGCCCUGCAAGUGCUUUUUUUACUGGAUAAUCAGCUUAUUGGCUCGCUGGAAGACAUUCCUGCUCCUUUAUCCUCACCAUUGCGGGAGAUUCUUUUAAGCAGUAAUCAAUUGACAGGCCCAAUACCCAAAUCAUUUUUUCAGCUUACGAAUCUUCAAAGUCUCAAUCUUGACUCAAAUAAAUUGACAGGCACAAUAGAACUUGGCUCUAUCUGGAGGUUGAGAAAUCUCACCCAUCUUAGCCUGGGUAACAAUAUGAUAUCGCUCACUGAAAAAGAAGGUGAUACGAUAUUCUCUCAUAUCCUUAAAAUCCAGCACCUAAACCUCGCAUCUUGCAACCUUACAAAAUUUCCGGCAUCAUUAGAGUAUAUUGACACUAUUCAAGGUCUGGAUCUUUCGAAUAACCAAAUCGAAGGGGCCAUACCAAGUUGGGUAUGGAAGAACCCCCUUGUUAGUUUGAACCUCUCACACAACAUGUUUACUACUUUAUAGAAGUCUCCUAUUGUACAGAUGACACAUUUAAUUGAUCUUGAUCUCAGUUUUAAUGGACUUCAAGGAAGCAUACCGAUACCAUCAACUCCAUCCGAACUAAUUAUUUUGGAUUACUCAAAUAAUGAAUUCUCUUCGAUUGAACCUAACUUUGUUGGCAGACCAAUUCCAUCCUGUCUUAUGAAAAAAGCUGACCUGAUGAGCAUAUUGAGGUUAAGAGAAAACAAGUUACAUGGCAUGCUACCUGAAAAUAUUGGAGAAGGGUGUAAGCUUCAGACAAUCGAUUUGAAUCAAAAUCAAAUUCAAGGUGCACUACCAAGAUCCCUA